GGGGAAUGUUGCCUCUAGGAAAUUAAAAACUAUAACUACAGCCUACUUAGCAGAUGUGUGACUACGCCCUUACAACUGCACCACAGUGCAUCACAGAGGAAGAGCUCUUCUUUAAAUGUCAAAUAGCAACUUUUUUCCCUGAUGGCUUUUAUAGGUGAAUGGAAAAAUCUGGCAGCUAAAAGAUACAUUUUUUUAAAUCCUUUUUGUUGUUGUUGUUGAAAACUUGUUUUAAUGGGAAUAUACUGUGUUCAGUAAUACUUCUGAAAAAGCAGAAGGUGCUUCAACUCCAACUGGAUUUAUAAACAUAAGUUCUCCUGACAGAAGAAGUCUGAAGAGAGAGAGGACACAUCCAAGGCAGAACUGGAUCAUGCCCUGGCUUGCCAGAACAGACUUGCUCUCAUGGUUGGACACGGCCAAAGGAGAUACUGGUGCAGAGGUGCAUUGAUCAGCCAGCAGCUUCUCACUUGAAGAUGUCCCAUGAGGUCCUGCUGGGAGCCUGGCUUCUGAAUGGCUGAUGAAGCUCAGUUUCACCGUGCACACCUUGACUAGGUAAGUCCUUUGACAGCCUUCAGCUGCAAGACCAUGAGGAGAGGACUGAAAAUGUGCAUAAG